AUUAGAGUUUGAUCAUGGCUCAGGCCGUACGCUGGCGGCGUGCCUAACACAUGCAAGUCGAGCGGAGAAUGCAGAAAUGUUUACAUGGAAGUAUUCUUAGCGGCGGACGGGUGAGUAACACGUGGGUAACCUGCCUCAAAGUGGGGGAUAGCCUUCCGAAAGGAAGAUUAAUACCGCAUAAGCCUACAGUGCCGCAUGGCACAGCAGGAAAAGGAGCAAUCCGCUUUGAGAUGGACCCGCGGCGCAUUAGCUAGUUGGUGAGGUAACGGCUCACCAAGGCGACGAUGCGUAGCCGACCUGAGAGGGUGAUCGGCCACAUUGGAACUGAGACACGGCCCAGACUCCUACGGGAGGCAGCAGUGGGGAAUAUUGCACAAUGGGCGAAAGCCUGAUGCAGCAACGCCGCGUGAGUGAUGAAGGCCUUCGGGUCGUAAAGCUCUUUGAUCAGGGAUGAUAAUGACAGUACCUGAAAAACAAGCCACGGCUAACUACGUGCCAGCAGCCGCGGUAAUACGUAGGUGGCGAGCGUUGUCCGGAAUUACUGGGCGUAAAGGAUGCGUAGGUGGAUACUUAAGUGGGAUGUGAAAUCCCCGGGCUCAACCCGGGAACUGCAUUCCAAACUGGGUAUCUAGAGUGCAGGAGAGGAAAGCGGAAUUCCUAGUGUAGCGGUGAAAUGCGUAGAUAUUAGGAGGAACACCAGUGGCGAAGGCGGCUUUCUGGACUGUAACUGACACUGAGGCAUGAAAGCGUGGGUAGCAAACAGGAUUAGAUACCCUGGUAGUCCACGCCGUAAACGAUGGGUACUAGGUGUAGGAGGUAUCGACCCCUUCUGUGCCGUCGUUAACACAAUAAGCACCCCGCCUGGGGAGUACGGUCGCAAGACUAAAACUCAAAGGAAUUGACGGGGGCCCGCACAAGCAGCGGAGCAUGUGGUUUAAUUCGAAGCAACGCGAAGAACCUUACCUAGACUUGACAUCUCCUGAAUUACCCUUAACCGGGGAAGCCUUUCGGGGCAGGAAGACAGGGGGUGCAUGGUUGUCGUCAGCUCGUGUCGUGAGAUGUUGGGUUAAGUCCGCAACGAAGCGCAACCCUUAUUUUAGUUGGCUACCAUUUGGGUUGAGCACUCUAAAGAAGAACUGCCGGUUAAACCGGCAGAGUGGGAUGAGCGUCAAUCAUCAUGCCUUAGUCUAGGCCUAACAAACGUGCCCUCAACAAUG
rnacentral:rRNA from 1 species